rnacentral:rRNA from 1 species
AUUGAACGCUGGCGGCAGGCCUAACACAUGCAAGUCGAGCGGAGCGGCGGACGGGUGAGUAAUGCCUAGGAAUCGGCCUGGGAGUGGGGGAUAACGUCCGGGAAGGGGCGCUAAUACCGCAUACUAUCAGAUGAGCCUGGGUCGGAUUAGCUAGUUGGUGGGGGAAAGGCCUACAAAGGCGACGAUCCGUAACUGGUCUGAGAGGAUGAUCAGUCAAACUGGACCUGAGACACGGUCCAGACUCCUACGGGAGGCGGCAUUGGGGAAUAUUGGACAAUGGGCGAAAGCCUGAUACAGCCAGGCCGCGUGUGUGAAGAAGGUCUUCGGAUUGGAAAGCACUUUAAGUUGGGAGACGUUACCAACAGAAUAAGCACCGGCUAACUUCGUGCCAGCAGCCGCGGUAAUUC